rnacentral:rRNA from 1 species
AGAGUUUGAUCCUGGCUCAGGAUGAACGCUAGCGGCAGGCUUAAUACAUGCAAGUCGAGGGGCAGCGCAGUGUAGCAAUACAUGGGCGGCGACCGGCAAACGGGUGCGGAACACGUACGCAACCUUCCUUUAAGUGGAGCAUAGCCCAGGGAAACUUGGAUUAAUACUUCGUAACAUUAUGAGAUGGCAUCAUUUUAUAAUUAUAGUUCCGACGCUUAAAGAUGGGCGUGCGCCUGAUUAGGUAGUUGGCGGGGUAACGGCCCACCAAGCCUGCGAUCAGUAACUGGUGUGAGAGCACGACCAGUCACACGGGCACUGAAACACGGGCCCGACUCCUACGGGAGGCAGCAGUAAGGAAUAUUGGUCAAUGGACGCAAGUCUGAACCAGCCAUGCCGCGUGGAGGAUGAAGGUCCUCUGGAUUGUAAACUUCUUUUAUUUGGGAAGAAACCCACGUUUUCUAAUGUGGUUGACGGUACCAGAUGAAUAAGCACCGGCUAACUCCGUGCCAGCAGCCGCGGUAAUACGGAGGGUGCAAGCGUUAUCCGGAUUCACUGGGUUUAAAGGGUGCGUAGGCGGGUUGGUAAGUCCGUGGUGAAAUCUCCAAGCUUAACUUGGAAACUGCCGUGGAUACUAUCAAUCUUGAAUGUCGUGGAGGUAAGCGGAAUAUGUCAUGUAGCGGUGAAAUGCUUAGAGAUGACAUAGAACACCAAUUGCGUAGGCAGCUUAU